ACCUCUAUUGAAACACAAACCUAGAUUACAUAGGCUAAGUAUUAAUGCAUUAGUGAACUAAGGUACAUGCAUCUAUUCCUGUAGAUUUGCAGAUUGCCACGCGUGACAGUGAGCAUGCUGCAGAAAAACGCAACAGUCCCUGCAACAGAUGGCAGCCAGUUCCUCCUGGGGUAGCACACCUGUGCCGAGGCACAGAGAGGAGCAUUGGGAUACUUCCUGACACCUCCCUCUAGCCCCACAACGCUCCUACAGAAGGGAGUGUCUGCUGUUGAUCAGUUCCAGGGAAACGCCAGCAGGUGUUUGGAGUGUGUCAGGUAACUCUGCUACAUCCAAUUACAGCAGAAAACAAUAAAAGGCAACAUCAGGGCCAUGACCUUAAGUAGAC